rnacentral:lncRNA from 1 species
AGAUGGCCUGUCAGGCUCCUAACACUAAGGUAAUUGCUGGCUAAGACAGCCUGACCCUCCGGUUUCCCUUUCCCAUCGGAUCUUGACGCUGGUCUUGGUGGUCGUUAAGGAGGAACAGUACCCUGAAGCUGGCCUCACAGCGAUGCAGUCUGCUGUAGAGCAGCAGGCCAGACUCAGACAUGCCUGGGCUUUGUGAAGUGGGAAAACUUGAGAACUGAUCAGUAUUGCUGAGUAAUGGCUUACUUUCGUGUUUUUUUUCUUUCUUUUAAGGGCCAUGUAACCAGUGAAGCAGCCAUUAUAUAUGAUUUGGUCUACACUUGUUGGAAAAAUUCCACAAGAGGAUCUCCUGGAAGCUAGCAGAAGUUUUUGGCUUGUACAUUGCCAGGCAGCCAUUGGAAUCAGAGCUGCAGUCAGAUUAAGGCCAGCCUGGCCGACAUUGAGAAACCUCAUUUUGGAAAAGUGAAAUACUUUGUCAAUUAACAUGCAGUUGGUUCAAUAAAGACUUUUGGAAAGUG